CAGUAGCCACGGUAACACAGAGGCCUCAAGCGUUGUUCGGAUUCAUUGGGCGUAAAGGGAGCGUAGGCGGUCGGGUAAGUCGGAUGUGAAAUCCUGGGGCUCAACCUCAGAACUGCAUUCGAUACUGCUUGGCUAGAGGACUGGAGAGGUGAGUGGAAUUCACGGUGUAGCAGUGAAAUGCGUAGAUAUCGUGAGGAAGACCAGCGGCGAAGGCGGCUCACUGGACAGUUACUGACGCUGAUGCUCGAAGGCCAGGGGAGCAAACGGGAUUAGAUACCCGCGUAGUCCCUGUCUCUUAUAC
rnacentral:rRNA from 1 species